AUUGAACGCUGGCGGCAUGCCUAACACAUGCAAGUCGAACGGCAGCACAGCAGUAGCAAUACUGUGGGUGGCGAGUGGCGGACGGGUGAGGAAUACGUCGGAAUCUGCCCAGUCGUGGGGGAUAACUAGCCGAAAGGUUAGCUAAUACCGCAUACGACCGAGAGGUGAAAGCGGGGGACCGCAAGGCCUCGCGCGAUUGGAUGAGCCGACGUCGGAUUAGCUAGUUGGCGGGGUAAAGGCCCACCAAGGCGACGAUCCGUAGCUGGUCUGAGAGGAUGAUCAGCCACACUGGAACUGAGACACGGUCCAGACUCCUACGGGAGGCAGCAGUGGGGAAUAUUGGACAAUGGGCGCAAGCCUGAUCCAGCAAUGCCGCGUGUGUGAAGAAGGCCUCGGUUGUAAGACACUUUAU
rnacentral:rRNA from 1 species